UACAGAGGGUGCGAGCUUUGUCCGGAAUCACUGGGCGUAAAGGGCGCGUAGGUGGCGCUCCAAGUCUGUGGUGAAAGCUCGACGCUCAACGUCGAGUCGGCCAUAGAGACUGGAGGGCUCGAGCACUGUAGGGGCAGAUGGAAUUCCGGGUGUAGCGGUGGAAUGCGUAGAGAUCCGGAAGAACACCGGUGGCGAAGGCGGUCUGCUGGGCAGUUGCUGACACUGAGGCGCGACAGCGUGGGGAGCAAACAGG
rnacentral:rRNA from 1 species